AGUGGACGUACCCCUGGUGUUCCGGUUGUCACGCCAGUGGCAUUGCCGGGUAGCUACGUACGGAAGGGAUAACCGCUGAAAGCAUCUAAGCGGGAAGCCUCCCCCAAGAUUAGAUCUCCCUGGGUACUUGAUACCCCUGAAGGGUCGUCGAAGACUACGACGUUGAUAGGCCGGGUGUGGAAGUGCAGCAAUGCAUGAAGCUAACCGGUACUAAUUGCCCGUGAGGCUUGACCAUAUAACACCCAAGUUGUUUGG
rnacentral:rRNA from 1 species